rnacentral:lncRNA from 1 species
GUUUUUAAACCUGCCCUUUGAAUGCAUGUAUUUGUGAAAUGAAGGUUUGAUCCAAAGUCCACUGAGAUCAGUGGAAAAUCCCCAGUGACUUAGGCUUUGGAUCAGGUCCUGAGAAGUAUACAAGUAAAUAGGUAUUGCAAUAAGAUUAUUCCCCGGAAUUCCUUUCAGCAAGAAGCCUUUUUAUUGUUCGUAAAUGCUACUGAUGCUCCGGGGCCAGAACCCCAGGAGAAUUCCACCUAGUGACGUCAAUUCUGUAGAGGAGAACUUCCUCCGUCCCCUUUUAGGUUUGUGGGACAUCUUCGAACAGAUGGAGCCUAUAUAGAUAAUUCUGAACUACUAAAAACUCAAUCAAGUCCAAAUUUCACACCUGGCCUUAUAAUGGACGAGAGUGAAACCCCAGAGCAGAGCACAGCCGACCAUAUAAGAAAGACUGAAAAAUUUUACCUAAGGUCAGAGCAUCUGAUGAAUGGGUUAAAGUGGAAUGGCUGUCGGAAACCAGAAAUGUAA